rnacentral:rRNA from 1 species
GACGAACGCUGGCGGCGUGCUUAACACAUGCAAGUCGAACGGAAAGGCCCUGCUUUUGUGGGGUGCUCGAGUGGCGAACGGGUGAGUAACACGUGAGUAACCUGCCCUUGACUUUGGGAUAACUUCAGGAAACUGGGGCUAAUACCGGAUAGGAGCUCCUGCUGCAUGGCGGGGGUUGGAAAGUUUGGGCGGUUGGGGAUGGACUCGCGGCUUAUCAGCUUGUUGGUGGGGUAGUGGCUUACCAAGGCUUUGACGGGUCGCCGGCCGGAGAGGGUGACCGGCCACAUUGGGACUGAGAUACGGCCCAGACUCCUACGGGAGGCAGCAGUGGGGAAUAUUGCACAAUGGGCGGAAGCCUGAUGCAGCAACGCCGCGUGCGGGAUGACGGCCUUCGGGUUGUAAACCGCUUUCGCCUGUGACGAAGCGUGAGUGACGGUAAUGGGUAAAGAAGCACCGGCUAACUACGUGCCAGCCGCCGCCGUAA